rnacentral:rRNA from 1 species
CCUACGGGGGGCAGCAGUGGGGAAUCUUGCGCAAUGGGCGAAAGCCUGACGCAGCGACGCCGCGUGAGUGAUGAAGGCCUUCGGUUGUAAAGCUCGGGGCAAGUCCCAUCGGUACCCCUUUAGCAAGCACCGGCUAACUCUGUGCCAGCAGCCGCGGUAAGACAGAGGGUGCAAACGUUGUUCGGAAUUACGGGCGUAAAGCGUGUGUAGGCUGCCCCGCAAGUCGGAUGUGAAAGCCCUGGGCUCAACCUGGGAAGUGCAUUCGAAACUGCGGGGCUGGAGUCCUGGAGAGGAAGGCGGAAUUCUCGGUGUAGAGGUGAAAUUAGUAGAUAUCGAGAGGAACACCGGUGGCGAAGCGGCCUUCUGGCAUGACUGACGCUGAGACACGAAAGCGUGGGGAGCAAACAGGAUUAGAUACCCUUGUAGUC